rnacentral:rRNA from 1 species
CCUACGGGCGGCUGCAGUGGGGAAUAUUGGACAAUGGGCGCAAGCCUGAUCCAGCAAUGCCGCGUGUGUGAAGAAGGCCUGCGGGUUGUAAAGCACUUUCGGUUGGGAAGAAAUUUUCUCGGCUAACACCUGAGAAAUUUGACACUACCUUCAGAAGAAGCACCGGCUAACUCCGUGCCAGCAGCCGCGGUAAUACGGAGGGUGCAAGCGUUAAUCGGAAUUACUGGGCGUAAAGCGCGCGUAGGUGGCUGCGUAAGUCGGAUGUGAAAGCCCCG